CCUACGGGAGGCAGCAGUGAGGAAUCUUGGUCAAUGGACGAGAGUCUGAACCAGCCAAGUAGCGUGAAGGAUGACUGCCCUAUGGGUUGUAAACUUCUUUUAUCUGGGAAUAAAAUGUUACACGUGUGGGUUUUUGUAUUUACCUUAUGCAUAAGGAUCGGCUAACUCCGAGCCAGCAGACGCGGUAAUACGGAGGAUCCGAGCGUUAUCCGGAUUUAGUGGGUUUAAAGGGAGCGUAGGUGGAUUGUUAAGUCAGUUGUGAAAGUUUGCGGCUCAACCGUAGAAUUGCAGUUGAUACUGGCAGUCUUGAGUACAGUAGAGGUGGGCGGAAUUCGUGGUGGAGCGGUGAAAUGCUUAGAUAUCACGAAGAACUCCGAUGGCGAAGGCAGCUCACUGGACUGCAACUGACACUGAGGCUCGAAAGUGUGGGUAUCAAACAGGAUUAGAUACCCCUGUAGUC
rnacentral:rRNA from 1 species